UAAAGCGCUGAUUCCCAAUGCUCUGGUGCCUACACUCACGUCAGCGACGCGCCGUUGCGGCCCCCAAGUCGGUGCUCCGGCAGGCCGUGGAUCUCGCCACUCCGUUCAGGAUUCCUCUUGCAGCGAGGGGCUUGGCACUCGCUGUGCCGGGGUGCUGCUCCUGGGAGGCGCAAGCGCAUCUUCGGCCGGGGCGGGAUCCGCACCGCCGCUUUCCAGAUGCGGUGUCUUCAACGUUUGCUUCGCAGGCUCUUCCCAUUUAUACAGGCCUUGCUUGCGCGCUAGCUCAGAUCCCUUCCAAUUUCUAUCACCAGAGAAGUUAUUUGAGGCAAUAUCAAUGAUCUGUAACCUUGAGAAGUGUCCCUGGGAUUUUCCUCGUCUGUAAGGGUCAUCUAGUGCACCAUAGAACUGAUUGGAUCUCAAGACAAGGACGCGAAGAUUGGAAAGGCUCCCAAGCCAAGAUGGGAAAAUAUCAACAAUUUGAUUGUUUCCGAUGUCAAGAACCUCCAAAUAAGUGCAUUUUGAAAGCGCCCUAGGCAACUUCCCUUGAAUGUUAUUUCCAUUUAUAUCUAUUGUUUGAUGAUUGCAUUGACUUUUAAUAUUGUAAGGAAACUCUCCCUCAAAGUGAUUCCCCCUCAAAUUUAAUAUACUUAA